AUAACCUCGGAAAAGAAAAGAGGAAAAGAAGCAUCGAAAUAUUUGGCGAGAAAAAUGGCGACGGAGAAGCGCCACCGCCGGCAGUCGCCGCCGGCCGCCACGUCCGGUGCCUCUCCCACGUCCUCGUCGAAUCCGGAAUCCGCCGUAUUGCGCUCGCCUUCCCCUCCGCCGGACGUCCUCCCAGACAUCGCCUCCCGCCUGACCUCCCUCGAGGACUUCUUCGCCCUGCGCGCCUCCUGCCGCGCCUACCGCGCCCUCCUCCCGCCGUCCCGUGGGGUCCUUGCCUCCCAGUCCCCGCUCCUCCUAGUUGCGCUCUUCCCCUCCUUCUCCGAGGCGCUCUUUCACCUCUCGCUCCGCCGUCUCCACCGCUUCCGCCUACCUUGGGGCCACCACCUGCCCCCCUCCCGCCACACCCUCCUCUACGCGCACGGCUGCCUCGUCACGGCCACCACCGCGUCCUCCCACUACCCUCCGAGGCUCCUGCUCCUCCACCUCUUCUCCGGGGUGCAGAUCCGCCUCCCUAAGGUCCCGGCGCCGUUCACCCGCAUCAUCCUCUCCGAGGACCUCGCCGUGGUCCUCUUUCUGCCAGGCAGGCCCACCGUCCAGCACUGCCACCUGGGGGACGCACUCUGGCGGGUGGUCUGCGCCGAUGCGCCCGACGUGGUCGACGAUAUGCUCUUCGUCGGUGGCACCCUCUACGCCUUGGUAAAUGGCCUCCGACUUGCCAUAGUCGAGCUGUCUGAAAAUUCGCUGGAGCUGUCGUAUCUUGGAGGGGACUUGGAUGACGAGAGCAGGCCAGCGGGAGAGCUGUUCAGGCUUGGAGAGUGCGGGGGCGAUGUGUUGCUUAUCAGUGAGGAUCAUGAGAUGAUGGAUUACCGUGUUUUUCAGUGGGUGUCUGAGGAGGGAAAGUGGGCUUCAGUCACGAGCUUGGGUGGGAGGACACUGUUUCUUGGUUACCAUGGAUUUGCAUCCUGCCUUGGUCCUGAUUACCCAGGAAUUCGAGGGGAUUGCUUAUAUGCAGCUGGGUUACGCUUGGGUGAAUGGCACGAGUACUCAUUGACUGAUGGAAUUUGCGAUGUUCGAUAUGCUGAGUAUCCAGGUGCACCACCGCUGAAUAAUAGUUCACCAGCCAGGCCACCAGUUUGGGUCUUCCCCAGCUUGUGUUGAUGCUUUCUGCGAAUUCUUUACGAGCAUGUAAAACAUCUGAUGCCGACUUGGAAUAAAUCAUGGAAAGGGUGGUUCAGCAGAAGUUGGAAGUGUAACCAUAUCACUUCCAAGGUUCCACAAAAAUAAUUGUCUUACAAUGAAGGAACACAAUAUAGCUGAACCAAACCUGGGAAAAGCAGAAGAUUUUUAUCUUAGUACCUGAUAUUCAUUGCAUAAACCUAUUUGCUCAAUCAUCUAUAUGAGAAUACGGUUGCACAUAACGACCUUUUGUUUACCUUCAGGCUUUCCAUCUAUGAUUCUUAGACAGUCCUGACUAAACAAAUGUGACCGCCACACUGAACUUGACAGCAAUUUAUUACUAUUGGACUUGCACCUGUUUUUUUUCUCAUUUCAAAUAUGUUAGAAUGUCCAGUUUCCAGUUCAUGAAAAAGAUCCCUGGAGAGUCAAUUGGGAGCACUGUUUCAGAACAAAACGGUAAAGGAUUUAAUUAAAGACAUAGUUUAUCGAUAGAUAAAAGAUCAUAUGCCGUUAAAGAAACAUGGAAGCACUAUUUUAAUCAAGAAGGCCAGGGUAAAAGUUUACACAAUUUUCUCAUAGUGUGUGGUUAAAAAUCUUUUCCAUUUUUUUUCUGCAUAAGAAGAGAGGUGCUUGCAUAUUUUAUUCUAUAUAUUCCUCAUUUGUUGAAAUUUUAAGAAUCGGGAAAUUUGCAUGUUACAAAUUAUACUGAGAGAAGUCAGUAUUAGCUUACAGAAAAUCUGUCAUAUGUACUUUUAGAUUUUUGCAUUAGGCUAGUAGUCAGUCACUUCCUUGUUGAUUUAUAGGCGUGAAUAAUUCUGCAGCCCUAGAUUCUGCAGUUGCUGCAGUUAUUCAGACUUCCUGUCUUUUUGCUUGGAAUGUCUGGACCUGCGCAUAGGGGAGCAUGGUAUUAUCUGGCUUGUGUUGGACGUAGUACACAGAAACUUAAAUUCAGUGCACUUCAGCUCUAUUUCCCUUCCAUGUAAGGCAAGUUUUGAGAAUUUUCAUCUCUUGCCAUCCUUGAAUUGAUUUACGCAUUUGGAGUCUGCUGAAAAAUACGCAAAUCAGUGUAAUUUUGGUUGCAAAGCUGCUAAACCUGUACAAGUCAUGUGCAUCCCACAAGUUGAACCCUUG